GACGAACGCUGGCGGCGUGCUUAACACAUGCAAGUCGAACGGAAAGGCCCUGCUUUUGUGGGGUGCUCGAGUGGCGAACGGGUGAGUAACACGGGAGUAACCUGCCCUUGACUUUGUGAUAACUUCAGGAAACUGGGGCUAAUACCGGAUAGGAGCUCCUGCUGCAUGGUGGGGGUUGGAAAGUUUCGGCGGUUGGGGAUGGACUCGCGGCUUAUCAGCUGGUUGGUGGGGUAGUGGCUUACCAAGGCUUUGACGGGUAGCCGGCCUGAGAGGGUGACCGGCCACAUUGGGACUGAGAUACGGCCAAGACUGCUACGGGAGGCAGCAGUGGGGAAUAUUGCACAAUGGGCGGAAGCCUGAUGCAGCAACGCCGCGUGCGGGAUGACGGCCUUCGGGUUGUAAACCGCUUUCGCCUGUGACGAAGCGUGAGUGACGGUAAUGGGUAAAGAAGCACCGGCUAACUACGUG
rnacentral:rRNA from 1 species